AGGAAUAUUGGUCAAUGGACGAGAGUCUGAACCAGCCAAGUAGCGUGAAGGAUGAAGGUUCUAUGGAUUGUAAACUUCUUUUAUACGGGAAUAAACGAAUCCACGUGUGGAUUUUUGCAUGUACCGUAUGAAUAAGGAUCGGCUAACUCCGUGCCAGCAGCCGCGGUAAUACGGAGGAUCCGAGCGUUAUCCGGAUUUAUUGGGUUUAAAGGGAGCGUAGAUGGGUUGUUAAGUCAGUUGUGAAAGCUUGCGGCUCAACCGUAAAAUUGCAAUUGAUACUGGCAGUCUUGAGUACAGUUGAGGUAGGCGGAAUUCGUGGUGUAGCGGUGAAAUGCUUAGAUAUCACGAAGAACUCCGAUUGCGAAGGCAGCUUACUAACCUGUAACUGACAUUGAUGCUCGAAAGUGUGGGUAUCAAACAGGAUUAGAUACCCUGGUAGUCCACACGGUAAACGAUGAAUACUCGCUGUAGGCGAUAUACUGUCUGCGGCCAAGCGAAAGCAUUAAGUAUUCCACCUGGGGAGUACGCCGGCAACGGUGAAACUCAAAGGAAUUGACGGGGGCCCGCACAAGCGGAGGAACAUGUGGUUUAAUUCGAUGAUACGCGAGGAACCUUACCCGGGCUUAAAUUGCAACCGAAUAUGGCGGAAACGCUAUAGCUAGCAAUAGCGGUUGUGAAGGUGCUGCAUGGUUGUCGUCAGCUCGUGCCGUGAGGUGUCGGCUUAAGUGCCAUAACGAGCGCAACCCUUGCCGAUAGUUACUAACAGGUCAUGCUGAGGACUCUGUCGGGACUGCCAUCGUAAGAUGUGAGGAAGGUGGGGAUGACGUCAAAUCAGCACGGCCCUUACGUCCGGGGCUACACACGUGUUACAAUGGGGGGUACAGAGGGCUGCUACCACGCAAGUGGAUGCCAAUCCCAAAAACCUCUCUCAGUUCGGAUUGAAGUCUGCAACCCGACUUCAUGAAGCUGGAUUCGCUAGUAAUCGCGCAUCAGCCACGGCGCGGUGAAUACGUUCCCG
rnacentral:rRNA from 1 species